rnacentral:rRNA from 1 species
AGCGAACGCUGGCGGCAGGCUUAACACAUGCAAGUCGAGCGGGCAUCUUCGGAUGUCAGCGGCAGACGGGUGAGUAACACGUGGGAACGUACCCUUCGGUUCGGAACAACUCUGGGAAACUGGAGCUAAUACCGGAUACGCCCUUAUGGGGAAAGGUUUACUGCCGAAGGAUCGGCCCGCGUCUGAUUAGCUAGUUGGUGGGGUAACGGCCUACCAAGGCGACGAUCAGUAGCUGGUCUGAGAGGAUGAUCAGCCACACUGGGACUGAGACACGGCCCAGACUCCUACGGGAGGCAGCAGUGGGGAAUAUUGGACAAUGGGCGCAAGCCUGAUCCAGCCAUGCCGCGUGAGUGAUGAAGGCCUUAGGUUUGUAAAGCUCUUUUGUCCGGGACGAUAAUGACGGUACCGGAAGAAUAAGCCCCGGCUAACUUCGUG